UCUGCAGAAACAAGAAAGCUCCAUAGACUGACAUAUGUUCCUCAGGAUUACAGAACUGAGAGCUGGCCACUGGAUAUGAGGGGCAGGAGGAAGGCCCACAGGUGGGCAAACAGCAGCAGGGCUUGGGAGGUGGCAAGACAGCCCAUGUGGUGCCAGUGAGAAGACCCAGAUAAUGACACCACGGACAGCAGACCCUGGGAAGGAGCUGGAUAUAUUUCUCUUUGGCCUGGGAUGCACUUUGCUAUUCCUCCUUCGUCUCUGACAGUGCUAAACAUAAAUGUUGUAUUUUCAAUAUUAACUCUUAAGCCCAUUAAAAAGGACUGCAGCAGA